rnacentral:misc_RNA from 1 species
UCUGGCUUAUAGCCCAGCGGUCUCGCUAGAGUGCCCAACUAAAUGAUGGUAACUAGCGACAGGGGUUGCGCUCGUUGCGGGACUUAACCCAACAUCUCACAACACGAGCUGACGACAGCCAUGCAGCACCUGUCACCGGGUCCCUAAAAGGGAACUCCUAAUUUCUUAGGAUAGCCCGGGAUGUCAAGCCUGGGUAAGGUUCUUCGCGUAGCAUCGAAUUAAACCACAUGCUCCACCGCUUGUGCGGGCCCCCGUCAAUUCCUUUGAGUUUCAACCUUGCGGUCGUACUCCCCAGGCGGGGUACUUCCUGCGUUAGCGCCGGCACCCAGAGGGUCGCUCCCCCAGGCACCUAGUACCCAUCGUUUACGGCGUGGACUAC